CUGGGCGUCUGGAGACGGACGCUGAAUAUCGUGGAGAGGUCAGCAGAGGGCAUAGUAGGCGGCGCCACCGCCGAAGGCC
rfam:Thauera sp. 27 Cont70, whole genome shotgun sequence.